AUUGAACGCUGGCGGCAGGCCUAACACAUGCAAGUCGAGCGGAUGAAGGGAGCUUGCUCCUGGAUUCAGCGGCGGACGGGUGAGUAAUGCCUAGGAAUCUGCCUGGUAGUGGGGGAUAACGUCCGGAAACGGGCGCUAAUACCGCAUACGUCCUGAGGGAGAAAGUGGGGGAUCUUCGGACCUCACGCUAUCAGAUGAGCCUAGGUCGGAUUAGCUAGUUGGUGGGGUAAAGGCCUACCAAGGCGACGAUCCGUAACUGGUCUGAGAGGAUGAUCAGUCACACUGGGACUGGAACACGGUCCAGACUCCUACGGGAGGCAGCAGUGGGGAAUAUUGGACGAUAGGCGAAAGCCUGAUCCAGCCAUGCCGCGUGUGUGAAGAAGGUCUUCGGAUUGUAAAGCACUUUAAGUUGGGAGGAAGGGCAGUAAGUUAAUACCUUGCUGUUUUGACGUUACCAACAGAAUAAGCACCGGCUAACUUCGUG
rnacentral:rRNA from 1 species